CUUAUGGAAGGAGAAUAUCAGGAAAAAAUAAUACUAUAUAUCUAGGUCUCCAAGUCUUUAUGAUUUUUCUCAAAGAUGAGCAAUGGUUUCCCAACCAAUAUAUUUUCUCUCCUUGUAUUACUUUCAUCAUAGAAGCAGUGUGUGUGGAACCCAGUUAAAGAUUUCUUCCUGUAGUCCUCUGCUGAAGUUACUUAAGUCAUAUUUAUUCUCUUUUAAAAACUUACUGACUGUCAUAUCACAUUUAGUAUUUAAUGUAAUAGAUAAAAUGAUUGUUUAGUGAAAAUUUUGUGAUUCAUACAUUAGUGCAUAAUUCAAAUAACUCAAUGGAAAAAAGGAAUGUGAUCUAUUAAGGAGGCACAGUGAUUAUCAUCCUGAUUCUGAUUCCUUUACCAAUGCACUGCUGCUACUUUGUGCCUCAUUUGAAUUUCUGAGAGUUAUUUUUAUUUCAAAAGAAUUAAAACCUUGGGUUAAAGGAAUAAUGUAUAAAAAUGGAAAACAGUAAAAAA
rnacentral:lncRNA from 1 species